CUUCCACACCCCCUCCCUUGAUUUCGUUUUCGAGUCCAAGGUUUUAACACCAGGAGGGGAAGGAACAAUUAGACAGCCAAGCCUUGGGAAAAUGCUGCUUCAGGGCAAUGGGCCUCUGCUCAUCCGGGUCUGCGGCCUUCAGACAGUGCCCGACUUCGGGCCUGGCAUCCACAGGAGGAAGAGGGCAGCCAGCCUGGCCCCCCAGGGACGGAGGGUGGCAGAAUGCCCAGGACCAGCCCAGCACUGGCAUUUGGGGGAGAAAUUCCAGACUGAGGAGACAGCUAGAGAAGAAGGGAGGCAUGGAAAUCCCUACAGGUUUCAACAGUUAUCCUUCAAAGCAGACGCGAAACUGGGGAUGUUAACAGGAGGGCCGGCUCAGACCGAAACCAAGCCAGAGCAGAAACAAACAGCCAGGCAUCUUCGCUGGCCAGCCCCACCAGGUCAACAUCUGGGUGCCCAGCUGCUUUCUGCCUGCCAAGGCCAUGUUCCUUCUCCUCCGUCACCACUUCUCAGUGUCCUGGGUUAGGGAGGGGUCGGUCUGCCGGCAGACCAGGUCUUCUCCCGUUCUACAUCUCAGCCCCAUCACACUGCACAUGGCACACAGGAAGGGCCCCCUGCGUGCCUGCUUGUGGAAGGGGCCAUUGAAAGCUGGCCCCGCCUCCCACCUCCCGCCUCCCUGCUCCCUCUCCGACCCUCUUUGCUUUUGGUUAGGAACCCCGGGCCCCGCCUCUUCUGUGUUCUCAAGGCCUAUUCCUCUAGCGACAAAAACCAACCACUUCCCCCUCUCGCCUUCCCGUCCUUUUGGAGACACAAAGGGCCCUGCUCCCAGAAACACUGUCUCCUGGAGCCAGGAGAAUUUCUGGAAUGGGCAGGGACCUCGCCUGAAAAAGAGAAAGGAGAACUCUAGGGGAAGGCAGAGGGGAGCAAGGGCUAGAUCAAAGAGAGCCUGGACAGGGUCAGGAGUGGGGAGUGCUGGCAGGGAGACAAAUGAGGCUCCCAGAGGGGUCAGCCGAGGGACAGGCGUGCCUGCGCUCAGAUGCACAGGGGCAGCGCAGGAGCACCACGGAAAAGACUGGCCAUUGCAAAGAGACCAUAGAUGGAAAAGAUAAGGUAAGGUGCAAAUUAAUGGAGAAAAGGACUGACCGGAGAUAAGGGCAUCUCCCUGUAAUGGCAAACGCACAGCCUUGGUAUCUCCAAGGUUGGUGGCGUCCCAGACUGUCCCAUGUCUGAGCUGGAAUGGGAGCUAAGGCCCAGGAGGGGCAGAAAUCAGACCAGUUAAUGAUUAGCUCCCAGCUGAAGGUUUAGAAGCUGACUCAUCCUCAUCCCGGGCAGGAAGAGCGCCUGAGCAAGUUACCUGAGACAAGGUAAGUGCUCAACUCAGGAAGAAGCCCAUAGGAACCUCAGGCUUCUGACCAGGACCCCAUCGUCUGAGGUGGGCCGGGGGAGGCCAUUCUUCGAUUUUUCAGCUUUCUGUUGUUGUUUGGUUAACGUGGUGGUGGUGGUUUUUAAUUUUGGUUCUAAAAUUCUAAGAUUUGUCUCAAAUAUUGAUUGUAUUUGAACUUUUUUUUCCCUUCGUCUUCUUGCAAAGCCCCCUGGUACAUAGUUGUACACUCUAGUUGUGAGUGCCUCUGGUUCUGCUCUGUGGGACGCCACCCCAGCAGGUCCUGAUGAGCUGUGCCAUGUCCGCACCCAGGAUCCGAACCAGCGAAACCCUGGGCCACCAACGCAGAGCAUGUGAACCAACCACUCAGCCACAGGGCCAGCCCCUGUAUUUGAACUUGAUUUUGCUGGUUCCACACCCAAAAAGUGUGCUGAAUGGCAAUUACCAGCAAGAUUGUCUGCCUACACUCAGAGCUAAUCAAAUAGCAGAAUGGGAAAGACAAUAGAUUCUAGAGCCAGGCUGCCUGGGUCAUGUCCUGCCUUGUCCACUUGCUACCUGUGACUUAGGACAAGAUACUUGACCUCUCAUAGGUGCUCUGUGUGCCUGCUACAUAGUAAGCACUCAACAAACGCUAGCUGUUAUCAUCACCGUCAUCAUUUUAAUUAUUACCAUCUUUCCCCUACAACCUAGGAGCAAAGCCCUGAAAUAAGUGCAGACCUCUUUUCAAAAAUCUCAUUGCCUGGGGCCAGCCUUGUGGCACAGCAGUGAAGUUCACACGUUCCACUUUGGUGGCCCAGGGUUCACUGGUUCAGAUCCCAGGUGCGGACAUAUGCACUGCUCAUCAAGCCAUGCUGUGGCAGGCAUCCCACAUAUAAAGUAGAGGAAGAUGGGCACGGAUGUUAGCUCGGGGCCAGUCUUCCACAGCAAAAAGAGGAGGAUUGGCAGCAGAUGUUAGCUCAGGGCUAAUCUUCCUCAAAAAUGAAAAAUCCUAUUUUGUGUGUAAGCAUUUCACAGCCCUCCUACUCCCCCAGCACAAAUGCAUGUGGACGCAUCCUAGAACGAUCCAGGAAACCAAUAUCUCACGUGUCAGUCGUGGGGCUGGGAGAGGUGACUACAGACUCCCAUGCACACUGUGUAUAAAUUCCUGCAUCCUUCUCCCUCACUCCUCACAUCCAAUCCUUCAUAAGUCCUGUCCGGUCUACCUCCAAAAUCAACCCUGACUCCGUCCCUUGUCUCACCCUCACUGCUGCCCUGCUCCAGUCCCAGCCACCGUCAUCUCACCUGCUGCCACAGCCCUCUGACCGCCCCCACCUCCACUCCUACCUGCGCCCCUAACGUGGUUUACGUGCAGCACACACAGCAAUGUUUAAAAGCUAGGACUAUAGAAACCAUGUCACUCUCCACUCAAACCUGCCCCCGCCAACGGCUUUCCCUUGCACUUCAGAUAAAAUCUCAAGUUCUCAGCUGGCUUAAAAGACCCUGUAUCACUGCCCCUGCCCACCCGUCCAAUCUCAUCCGGAGCCGUGCUCCUCCUUGUCUGCCACACUCCAGCUUCACCGGCUUCCUUUCAGUUCUUCAAACACUCCUUCCUCCUCUUCAAAGGGCAACUCCUUUUCAAGUCUUAGCGUCAGUGGCAUUUCUUCAAAGAAGCCUUCCCUGGCCACCCUCUCUAAAUAUUGCCCAACUCCCCUCUUUUACUCUUUCACAGCAUUAUAUUCAUUUUCUCC
ensembl:lncRNA